rnacentral:lncRNA from 1 species
UUUCCUCUCCGUGACCCUUCUUCCCCCUCUAGGGGUCCUGGGCUGCCCUGAGGCCACCGCCUAGCAAGAUCAAGAUAGGGCUUGAGCGGCAGUGGGAUAGGGCAGUGGGGGUUCCGGGGGGGUCCGGUGCAGGCAGAACCAAGAGUGUGCCGGCGGAGGGCUGUCGGUACAGGGUGCAGGGCGUGGCGGCUGCAGGACCUCAGCUUGCCUCUUUAAAUCCCUUCCUGGGCACCGCGGUGGCCCGGCCCUUUCCCCUCGUGCUGUUUCUGCUGGAAACGCCGCACAGUCUCCUCGGGGGCAGCCGCCAGCGGAAACGGUUAUUGGCCGCCAGGCAAGCCAGUCCCAUCCUUCCCAGCAACUGGGACUUUCCGGGCAGGGCUCCCCAGCGCGGGUUCAGCUAAUUAAGGAAGCAAUUAGCCUCCCCUGAGGCUAUUCAUGCUUCCUCACCCACAGUUCUCAGGUUCUGUGAGACCAGAGCCUCAGUCUCCCGUGAGCAGAGGGUGUGUGUGUGGCUGCCACUAUUCUGCAGACACGCUGGCUCCACCCCAGAGAGUUGCAGGGCCAGGAAAUCUGCAUUUAAACAGACCCUGGCUCUCACACUUCGGAAACUGCCCGAAGCACCUCUCAAAUAUGGGACAGGUGCUUAGGCCGAAAAUCAGGAAUCUCUUGAAUGAAUGCAUGAAGGUGGAGCCCUUUCCCUUAAUGCGCAGGUGAAAAGGGCACCUCGGUGGAUUCUACUAAAUUUAAUAGAAGACUUGAUGGAUUACAGAGGACUCCUGCUCCAGCUGUGGGGAACUCCAGCCCGCACUUUGCCUCCAGCCCGAUGGUGCAAGAUCCAGCUUCUCUUCAGCCUGGCAUCAAACGUCUUUUUGAUCAGCUUUUCAUCCAUUUUCUGAAAAUGUAGUGAUUGAGAGAUGUUCUGAAUCUUGCAGAAUUCUGUGUCGCACCCUGGCCACACAUCAAUGCAGGCCUGAACCUGACCCUGGGUGGACUCCCUGCUCUCUGCCAGCCCCUUUCUCACCCCUGGGUCCCCACGGCCCCUGGCUCUCUCCCCUCUGCUAGAAUCUCGCUGAGGGAUUGGUGGGGAGGGGGUGGUCACGCACUGGGUGGAGAUCUGGUGCCCCCUGGAGGCCGGACAGGAAGGGCCAGGGCGGACAAGGUCUUUGAGAACUCGGUGGCAUCCCGCUCCUGAUGGCCUGGGUCCCACCGCCCCUCCCCCAGCCUUCCUGACAGCAGAGGAGAUUGAUGGGGCGCUGCUCGAAUGUUCUUCAUCAGCGUCUUCAGUAAUAAGCUUCUCCAUUGGGUAACCGAUCCUAGUUUAGCAAAACCGUUUGUCAACCAUUUCCUCCCUUGAGCUUGAUAAGAACCCCGUGGGAGAGGAGAGAGGGGGGCCCCCCAGGAUCUGAAAAGCUGUGCCUCAGCCAAGUUCAUGAGUCACUGGCGAGGAGGCCUGUAGGUCAGCAAAGCCUAGGAGGUCAAGAGUGCCCACAUGGGGACCUACGGGCCUCAGGGCCGCAGGUUGCUGGGUUGGACCCUGGCUUGGAGCUCAGGAUAGAAACCCGGAAACCCCACAGGCAAAGAAGGAUGCAGAACAGAACAGGGCAGAACCAAGGACCCAGUGAGGGUGGCUGGCGUCAGAGCAAAUAUCAGAGUUCACAAGGUGAAAUAAUCCAAAAAUCUAUACAGAAAAAGCUAAUCAUUUUCUCCAAUCUCUCCCCCAAAGGUGUCUACUCCUGCAGGCUUACCUGUAACCUUUGUCACUCACUCUUCUGAUUCUGCAAACAUAUAAACCACGGAGCCACAGCCAAGAGAAUCUGGACUUGUUCGUUUUUCCUGAAAUAGGAUAUCUUAAAUAAUCCGUGGCUCAGCACUGCGCCCUUUUUUUUCUUUUCUUUUCUUUUUUUUUUUUUUUUUGAGACGGAGUCUCGCUCUGUUGCCCAGGCUGGAGUGCAAUGUCAUGAUCUUGGCUCACUGCAACCUCUGCCUCCUGGGUUCAAGCAACUCUCCUGCCUCAGCCUCCUGAGGAGCUGGGACUGCAGGUGCAAGACACCACGCCUGGCUAAUUUUUGUUAUUUUUAGUAGAGACAGUGUUUCACUAUGUUGGCCAGGCUGGUCUCGAACUCCUGACCUCAAAUGAUCUGCCUGCCUCGGCCUCCCAAAGUGCUGGGAUUACAGGCACAAGCCACAGCACCCAGCCUCACUGUGCCCUUUUCACUGGCAGGCAUUUUAUUGUCCCUACAGACCCAAGACGGGGUGGGGGAGACGUGCUUUGUGCUCACCUGGCUGGUUCAUGGGCAGGUGGCCUGGAGGACCCAGCCCUGGCAGCUGUGGGGUAGCUCCAGCCUGGGCCGGACAGCUUCUUUCAUCGCAGGCACCACUGCGGACAUUGCUGGGAGGAAGAGGAGGGAGAAGCGACGGGCUUCAUUAGGAACGGCUUUCGAUGGAUUGGACGAGGCGCGUCCACCCUGGGGAGGGCCAUCAUUUUAUUCAGUCUACUGAUGCAAAUGCUUAUCUCUUCUGGAAACACCUUCACAGACAGACCCAGAAUAUAGUUGAACCAAAUACUGGGCACCUCAUGGCUCCAACAGGUUGACACAAAAAAUGAACCAUUGCAGAAAACGAAGAACAGUCACCAACUCCCACCCAUGCAGCUGGCUCAUUUGCUGGGCUGCCCUCCCCAGCAGGUGGCACAGGAAUCCCUGCCUUGGCAGGGAGGAGGCCUGGGGUGUGUGCAGGUACCCAUGGGAAGUUUCUUUGCCAUGGGGAAAGCCAGAGUCACCCCUUGCUUGAACACAAGAGUUGGAGGUUUCAGUGAGCUGAGAUUACGCUAUUGCACUCCAGCCUGGGCGGCAGAGUGAGACUCUGUCUCUAGAUAAAUAAAUUAAAUAAAUAAAUAAAUAUAAUUUAAUAUAAAUAACUAGAAAUUUUUCAAUACUUGCAUCUCUGUAGGUUACCUCUGGAAGUGCAGGGCUUUGUCUUUUUGGAUUAACUCAGAAAUUAGACCUUCAGAAAACAACAUCAGCUCUGAUUCUCUGCACCCUUGAUGCUGCCGGUGGCGACUGCGGCUUCCUGAUGGAAAUGUAGACCUGAACAUAAGUCGCAGAAAAAUGCAGACUUGAGUUGGAGCUAAGCUGACUCAGGUAUUUUGAGAUCUAUAAUCUGAGUGGGGAGCAGAGAGAUUCCAAGAUAUUUGCAUUCAGUGGCUUUUGCACACAGCAGAACCUGUGCUGAGGGCAUUUCUAGGGUCAUUACUCAUAAUCUGCAGUGUCUCUUUCCAGGGUUCCAGGCGUCUUACCCCAGAGGUGAUUUCCAGAUUUCGAGAAAAACCCAGGAUUUAGGGCUGGCACGGUGGCUCACGCCUGUAAUCCCAGCAUUUUGGGAGGCCGAGGCAGGUGGAUCACUUGAGGUCAGGAGUUUGAGACCAGCCUGGCCAACAUGAUGAAACCCUGUCUCUACUAAAAAUACAAAAAAAUUAGCCGGGUGUGGUGGCAUGCACCUGUAAUCCCAGCUACUCAGGAGGCUGAGGCAGGAGAAUCACUUGAACCUGGGAGGCAGAGGUUGCAGUGAGCCUAGAUCGUGCCAUUGCACUCCAGCCUGGGCAACAAGAGCAAAACUCCAUCUCAAAAAAACAAACAAACAAACAAACAAAACGCAAGAUUUAGAUCCCCUCACUGUAGCGCCCUCAUGGCCUGGUAACUUUAGCAAAGCCUCCCCCUCCUCCCCCUCCUCCUCCUCCUCCUCCUCCUCCCUCCUCCCUCUUCUAGGUACAGAGGAUGAGCAGUGGCUCCCCACACCAUCCCCUGAAGCAGAGGCCCCUCUUCCCUUCAUUCCCCAUUCUGUACAGAUGCUAUGGGAGCUUCAGGCUCCACACUCAGGUCCCCAGUCCCUGAAACAUAAAGCUGAAUAAGACAGAGUCCCUGGGCUGAAGGGGCCACUGUUGGCCAUGGAAGCAGAGUAAACAGAGUGGGGCCGACGUAAAGGUGAGCUGGGGUGCACUGGAGGCACAAAACGGGCAAGGAUGGAGACGUGGGUGACGAGGUAGGGCAGACAGGCAGAGCUCAGACUGGGUCCUAGGCAGGGAGAAGUCACCAUUGUAGAGCAAGGACGAUGUGGUCAGAUCUGGGCUUUAGAAAUCUAGGUGUCUAGCCUAGGCAAUAUAAUGAGACCUCGUCUCCACAAAAAACUUAAAAAAUUAGCCGAGUGUGAUGCCACAUGUCUGUAGCCGCAGCUACUCAGAAAGCUGAGGAUCCCAAGUGGAAGGAUAACUCUAGCUCGGGAGGUCGAGGCUGCAGUGAGCCAUGAUCGUGCCAUUGCACUCCAGCCUGGGCAACAGAGCGAGACCCUGUCUCAAGAAAAAAAAAAAAAAAGUAAAAGAAAAAGAAAGAAGAAAUACAGCUCUGGAGCUGCCUAGGACAGGGUUGGGGACUCUCCUGACUAGCUGCCAGCGAAUGUUUGCUUUCUGUGGCCAGGCCCUGCCUGGCCAGGGUGCACAGGGCUGAGCGAGGCAGAUGGAGCCCCUGCUCUCAGACUGCUUUUCCGAAUGCCAUCUUGACGCUGCUCAAGUUUGGAUUUUGGUUUUCAUGGAAGUCAACUAUGGUUCUGACAUGGCCACCUCUGUCUCAACUGAUGCACGGCCUAGGGAAUCCGGUGAUGCUUCAGCAGGUGGCAGGGCUCAGCUGCACCCGCCCGGGCCCCAGCGCCGCCUGCCACUCCUCCUCCUCCUCCCAGGCUUCGGCUGAGAGCAGGGCCUGGAGCCAGCCUGCUGGGUGGACUCCCAGCUCCACAGUUGGCUAGCUCUGGGGCCCUGGGGAGAUGUCCACCCUCUCUGUGCUUUAAUUUCUUCACCUGUGAGGUGGGGAUGGUAGCACCUCCCUCAUGGGGUGGCUAUGGCUGUGAAAUGAGGUAACGUCUCGGUGUUAGGCAGCUUCCAAAACGGCUCUCCAAGAUCCCCUGCCUCCUGGCCUUCAUAGCCUUGUGGAACCCCUGGCCCUGUGUGUGGGCUGGACUCACUGCCUGCUUCCACCCAAGAGAACAGGGCACAGCUGAUGGGGGUUACUUCUGAGACUAGGUGAUCAAGACUGGGGCUUGCUGGGUCCCUCUGUCUCUGACUCUUUCCUCUGCUCUCUCCUGCUCACUUGCUCACCCUAAUACUAUAUCAAG